UGGGGGUAGUCUCUGCUCCAUGUUUUCAAUAAAUAGCCGCAGUAAUUUUAACUGUGCUAAGGUAGCACAAUAAUUUGCCUUUUAAUUGGGGGCCGGAAUAAAAGAGUUGAUAAUAUUUAUACUUUAUUUGUUAGCUCACGAUAAAUUAAUAUUUACUUAAAAAAGAGUAACUGUUUAAAAAGACGAUAAGACCCUAUAAAACUUUAUCAACUGCCCGGGUUAUAAAACAGGAUUCAUGUAAUUUUGGGAGUAGAUUGAGCUGGGGCGGCAUCUAAUCAUUGUUCCCUAGAAAAAUAAACACAAUUUUGUGAUUUUCAAGAUCUUGCCUAUUAAAGUUAGAAUAAGUUACUUUAGGGAUAACAGCACAAUUUUUUCAAAUAGACCUUAUAGAAGAAAAGGAGUUGUGACCUCGAUGUUGAAUUGAGGGGCCUGUGCUGAGCAGAAAUAGUUCAAAGGGAGUCUGUUCGACUCUUAAACCCUC
rnacentral:rRNA from 1 species